GGUCUGAUAACUCAGUGGUAGAGUUGUUUUCUGAUACGAAACAGGUCGAAGGUUCGAAUCCUUCUCAGACUACAA
rnacentral:tRNA from 1 species